CUUGACACUGAACAUUGAGCCUUGAUGUGUAGGAUAGGUGGGAGGCUUUGAAGUGUGGACGCCAGUCUGCAUGGAGCCGACCUUGAAAUACCACCCUUUAAUGUUUGAUGUUCUAACGUUGACCCGUAAUCCGGGUUGCGGACAGUGUCUGGUAGGUAGUUUGACUGGGGCGGUCUCCUCCUAAAGAGUAACGGAGGAGCACGAAGGUUGGCUAAUCCUGGUCGGACAUCAGGAGGUUAGUGCAAUGGCAUAAGC
rnacentral:rRNA from 1 species